rnacentral:rRNA from 1 species
UACGGAGGGGGCUAGCGUUGUUCGGAAUUACUGGGCGUAAAGCGCACGUAGGCGGACUUGUAAGUCAGGGGUGAAAUCCCGGGGCUCAACCUCGGAACUGCCUUUGAUACUGCAAGUCUCGAGUCCGGAAGAGGUGAGUGGAAUUCCUAGUGUAGAGGUGAAAUUCGUAGAUAUUAGGAAGAACACCAGUGGCGAAGGCGCCUUACUGGCUCGAUUCUGACGCUGAGGUGCGAAAGUGUGGGGAGCAAACAGG